UACGAAGGGGGCAAGCGUUGUUCGGAUUUACUGGGCGUAAAGGGCGCGUAGGCGGAUUCGUAAGUCAGAGGUGAAAGCCCUGGGCUCAACCCGGGAAUGGCCAUUGAGACUGCAAGUCUUGAGUGCGAGAGAGGGUGGCGGAAUACCCAGUGUAGAGGUGAAAUUCGUAGAUAUUGGGUAGAACACCGGUGGCGAAGGCGGCCACCUGGCUCGCAACUGACGCUGAGGCGCGAAAGCGUGGGGAGCAAACAGG
rnacentral:rRNA from 1 species